rnacentral:sRNA from 1 species
UCGAACCCUGCAAGGCAGAACGACCCGUGAACAUGUAACCACAACGGGGUGACCGUGAUAAGGGCCUCGGUCCUUAUCCCCUAACCCUUCCCGACGUGAGUUCGUGGUGUCUUUUUGGGCAUCAUGGAUUCCGUUGGACCAUAACAAAACCCCGGCACGGUAUGUGCCAAGGAAAACAAAAAUGAGAAGGACACUACCUGUUUCGCCCCGUUUGCGGUGUGCGUACAGGUCGUGGCCUCCUUGGAAUCACAAACGACUCUCGGCAACGGAUAUCUCGGCUCACGCAUCGAUGAAGAACGUAGCAAAAUGCGAUACUUGGUGUGAAUUGCAGAAUCCCGUGAACCAUCGAGUUUUUGAACGCAAGUUGCGCCCGAAGCCAUCCGGCUGAGGGCACGCCUGCCUGGGCGUCACGCAUCGCGUCGCUCCCCACCAUACCUCCCCAACGGGUUGGCAUGGUGUUGGGGGCGGAUAAUGGCCUCCCGUGCUUGUGUUUCGGUUGGCCUAAAUAAGAGUUCCCUUCGGCGGACACACGACUAGUGGUGGUUGAAUAGACCCUCGUCUUUUGUUGCGUGUCGUGAGCUGUAAGGGUAGCCCUCAUCAAAGACCCCAUUGUAUCGUCUUCGGAUGAUGCUUCGAC